rnacentral:rRNA from 1 species
AGCGAACGCUGGCGGCAUGCCUAACACAUGCAAGUCGCACGGGGGGGCUUCGGCCUCCCAGUGGCGGACGGGUGAGGAACGCGUAGGGACCUGUCGAGGGGUGGGGGAUAACCGCGGGAAACUGCGGCUAAUACCGCAUGACGCCGCGGCGUGACAGCCGGGGCCAAAGGCGAAAGCCGCCCGCCGAGGGGCCUGCGUCCGAUUAGCUGGUUGGCGGGGUAGCGGCCCACCAAGGCGUCGAUCGGUAGCUGGUCUGAGAGGGUGAUCAGCCACACCGGGACUGAGACACGGCCCGGACUCCUACGGGAGGCAGCAGUGGGGAAUAUUGGACAAUGGGCGCAAGCCUGAUCCAGCAAUGCCGCGUGGGUGAAGAGGGUCUUCGGAUUGUAAAGCCCUUUCGGCGGGGACGAUGGUGACGGUACCCGCAGAAGAAGCCCCGGCUAACUUCGUG